rnacentral:rRNA from 1 species
UGGGGAAUAUUGCGCAAUGGGGGAAACCCUGACGCAGCGACGCCGCGUGCGGGAUGAAGGCCUUCGGGUUGUAAACCGCUUUUGAUUGGGAGCAAGCCUUUUGGGUGAGUGUACCUUUCGAAUAAGCGCCGGCUAACUACGUGCCAGCAGCCGCGGUAAUACGUAGGGCGCAAGCGUUAUCCGGAAUUAUUGGGCGUAAAGGGUACGUAGGCGGAUAAGCAAGUUAGAAGUGAAAUCCUAUAGCUCAAAUAUAGUAAGCUUUUAAAACUGCUCAUCUUGAGGUAUGGAAGGGAAAGUAGAAUUCCUAGUGUAGCGGUGAAAUGCGCAGAUAUUAGGAGGAAAACCGGUGGCGAAGGCUACUUUCUGGCCAUAUACUGACGCUGAGGUACGAAAGCGUGGGUAGCAAACAGG